UGAGUAACCUGCCCUUAACUCUGGGAUAAGCCUGGGAAACUGGGUCUAAUACCGGAUAUGACUCCUCAUCGCAUGGUGGGGGGUGGAAAGCUUUAUUGUGGUUUUGGAUGGACUCGCGGCCUAUCAGCUUGUUGGUGAGGUAAUGGCUCACCAAGGCGACGACGGGUAGCCGGCUGAGAGGGUGACCGGCCACACGUGGGACUGAGACACGGCCCAGACCUCCGUACGGGAGCAG
rnacentral:rRNA from 1 species